rnacentral:rRNA from 1 species
CUACGAAAACUGCCCAAUGUGGGAAACCACGAGGCGGGCAUUCCGAGUGCCAACGCAUUGCGUUGGCUGUUCUUUCGCCUAAAAAGCGAGAGAAGUAAGGGCCGGGUAAGACGGGUGCCAGCCGCCGCGGUAAUACCCGCGGCCCGAGUGGUGCUCUUUGUUAUUGAGCUUAAAGCGUCCGUAGCCGGCCUUGUAAAUCCUUGGGUAAAUCGGGCAGCUCAACUGUUCGAAUUCCGAGGAGACUGCAAGGCUCGGGACCGGGAGAGGCUAGAGGUACUCUCGGGGUAGGGGUAAAAUCCUGUAAUCCUGAGAGGACCACCAGUGGCGAAGGCGUCUAGCUAGAACGGAUCCGACGGUGAGGGACGAAGCCCUGGGGCGCAAACGGG